AUUGAACGCUGGCGGCAGGCCUAACACAUGCAAGUCGAGCGGAUGAAGGGAGCUUGCUCCUGGAUUCAGCGGCGGACGGGUGAGUAAUGCCUAGGAAUCUGCCUGGUAGUGGGGGAUAACGUCCGGAAACGGGCGCUAAUACCGCAUACGUCCUGAGGGAGAAAGUGGGGGAUCUUCGGACCUCACGCUAUCAGAUGAGCCUAGGUCGGAUUAGCUAGUUGGUGGGGUAAAGGCCUACCAAGGCGACGAUCCGUAACUGGUCUGAGAGGAUGAUCAGUCACACUGGAACUGAGACAAGGUCCAGACUCCUACGGGAGGCAGCAGUGGGGAAUAUUGGACAAUGGGCGAAAGCCUGAUCCAGCCAUGCCGCGUGUGUGAAGAAGGUAUUCGGAUUGUAAAGCACUUUAAGUUGGGAGGAAGGGCAGUAAGUUAAUACCUUGCUGUUUUGACGUUACCAACAGAAUAAGCACCGGCUAACUUCGUG
rnacentral:rRNA from 1 species